rnacentral:tRNA from 1 species
GCCCUUGUAGUAUAAACCAAUACUCUGGUCUUGUAAACCAGAAAUGGAGAUCACUCUCCCUAGGACA